UGAACCCGGGAGGCGGAGGUUGCAGUGAGCUGAGACUGUGCCAUUGCACUCCACCCUGGGCAACAAGAAUGAAACUGUCCAAAGUAAUAAUAAUAAUCCAUAUGCUUUCCCAACACAGCUGGACAGCUGAUAUUAAAAGAUGAUAUAUGUAGUAUAAUUCAAACUAUUGCAAGAGAAACAGAACCAGACUGUUUGGGGAAGGGAGAAACAGUGAGGUUGUGGGGGCACUUACCUUGAAUCUUGUUAGGUCCCUUGUGUGUUAUUUUGCCUAAUUCUCCCCACGGGUCUGCAAAGAGGACAAUGAUCUCCCCAUGUAGAGACAGGAAGCAGAUUCCGAUUCCUCGCCUUACCUGUGUUAGAUGUGCCCAUAGCUCCUAAUGAGGGCAAGGAUUAAUUGAAGGUGAUGCAGGUAGGAGCUCUAAGCACGGGCCUCGAUGAUGUCUGUAGUUCAGUCACAGGAAUGUCACUGCUGUUACAAAUUGGCGCUUCUGCUCAGAGUCUGCUGGUGCUCAAAUGGUUCCUUUCUGUCUCUGGUUGUGUUGGUUGAGACAGAGUAGCUGCAAUCAUCGUGUGUCGACCCAGAGCCUGACAAGCACAGAGCUGGUGCAGAACGUGGGCGGUGGCAGCAGACCCUUGGGGCUGUGAUGCUGUUCUUUCUGUGGCUUGGGUGGACUUCCGUAGGGCAACCCGUCUAGCAGAGAGUAAAAACAGUAGCCCCGAGUGCUGGCUGUGGGCCACACGCUUUCGCGCACUUCUGUGUGUUAAUUCACUUAAUCCUUAUAGAAACUUCAUGAGGCGUUUUUAGUAUCCUCAUUUCACAGAUGAAGCUGUCAGGGAGAGAGGUUGAGUUGCCCCAGUCUCACAGGUAGAAUUGGAGGAGCAGGAAUUCAGACCCAACCCUGUGGGCUUCUCGGCUGGCCCGCUCUUAGCAUCCCAGUGUGCUGCUCUGUGAUGAGCCCCAGUGUUGGGGUCCAGUCCCCACACGAGGUUCGAAGAGUUCUGAACACCUUUCUGGGGCUGGCUGGCUGCAGAGGGGUUGGUGACUCCAGUGUACUGUGGUGGCGAUGGUCUCCAGCCGUGGGCAUGUACUUCUCAGCUCCGCACCUCCUGAAUCUGGUCAGUCUGGUGUCAAACUCAAACCAGUAGACUGCCAAGGAUGUGACGACACUGGGCAUGGUGCAGGCCCUAUCCUCGAGGGGCUUGGUGGCCCCACCUGGGUCCCCUGGGGCCCAGCUGCCAUGCUGGAGGAUGUCCCAGCUGCUCUGCUGGAGAAAGAAGCCAUGUGGGGUCUCCUAGAGGGUGAGACAUGUGGAGAGGAGGGAGGAAGGGAGAAGCUGAGGCCUCAGACAGGCGAGAGAGCCCCAGCUGCCAGGCACCUGUGGUCUCACCAUAGGAUGAAAGAACUUGUUUAAGCCGCGACGAUUUGACAGGGCUUUUGUGCAGAAGUGGCACCUGGAACUCCUGUUUCUCAUGAGCCCAGGGCUGUGGGGCUGGCUGCCAGGAGUGAGCCAUUUGCUGGGCCAGGGAUUUGCCCUGCCACAGGGCCUCUUCUCACCCAGCCAGCCCAGGCUUGCCUGGGGGCCCCUUCCAUGUUGAGAGGACCCAUACCUCAGCCUGCGUUUGUGUCUUUUCUCACCAGCACCUGCCAGCUGAGGUUGCGCCAUGGUGGAAAUUUUUCCCUUUUAGAAGAUUUCAGUUACUGAACCAAAAAUAUUAAAUAUGUACUUAUCUGUGGUAAUUACAACUAAAGCAUGCGUUAUCACUGCAGCUUAGUCAUUUGCUUAAGUGAUUUAAAUGUGAUACUUGUUAAUAUGCAUAUCUCGUCAAAGGGAGUCAUGGGGGUGGCAGGGUUAGGUAGGCCAUGCUGGCUGAGGGCAGGAGGGCAGCGGUGUCUGCGGCUCCCUCCCCGAUCUUGUUCUCCCCUCCUGCCUUCCUUCCCUUUUCCCCUCCCUCCCUUCUUUCUGUCCCACCAUGAUGUCUUUAAGGUUUCUGUAUUUCAUCACCAUCAUCCUAUUUGAAAGUUUCUUUUUUUUUAAUCCAUCGGUCUUUCUCAAUUCAUAAUUAAUUUCUUCCAGCCUCGCUCCCUCCUCCCAUCCCUGGCAGCCCGGGGGCACCAGGUCGGGAGCUACCACCAAUGUUGCGUCUUCUUAAUAUUCUUUUAUUUACCUCUUUCCAAAGAUAGAAUUAGUGUGGUCCAAAUUGUACAUACAAUUAUAGGAUCAAAGUGAUUUGAAACCUAGAAGGCACGUUUUCUUUUAGGGUUUAGCUCACUCAGAGGUCCUCCAGCCCAGGCUCUUGCUCCGUGAAGACUUCCCUUCAGCAACAGAUGGUAAAUUGAGUCUGCAGAAUGAGUAAUCCCUUCAUUUCUGUCUGAGGGUUUGUUUAGAAGCAAACAAAAUGAUUCCCUCUUCUUAUUAAAUUUGUCGGGAGAACACCAGGAUCAUACUAAGUUACUGUCCAAACCUACAGCUGUGAAGAGGGGAUGCACAGUGACAGACAGAGACAGGCUCGCUUGACAGUUCAGAAUUCAGGCUCGGGAUCGUCCAUGACCUCCUAACAUCACACCCCAAACCCUUUAAAAAAACUGUCACUCCAGAUUGUUAAAACACUGGGACAUUGCCUCAGGAUGUAGAACAUUUAUCUUACAGAGAUUCCCAGUUUUUAAUGAACCAAAUAUAUUUCCUUAUUUUUUUCAUUGUCUUUAGUUUAUCAUUUAUUGUCUUAACCGUUUUUAAGUGUACAGUUAAGUGGCAUCCAGUACAUUCACAUUAUUGUGCACCCUCUCCACUGUCUGUCCACAGUGCUCUUUCAGCUUGCAGGACUGAAGCUCUGUGCCCAUUAAACAAACUCCUACUCUCCACUCCCAGCCCCUGGCGAACACCAUUCUGCUUUCCGUCUCUGAAUCCGACUCCUCUAGGUACUUCUGUUAGUGGAAUCAUACAGUAUUUGUCCUUUUAUGACUGGCUCAUUUCACUUAACAUAAUGUCCUCAAGAUUCGUCCCUGUUAGAGCAUGUGUCAGAAUUUCCUUUUGAAGGCUGAGUAAUAUUCCAUCGUAUGUAUGUGCACAUUUUGUGUAUCCAUUUAUCUGUCAGCUGACUCUUGGGUAGUUCCUACUUUCUGGAUAUCGUGACUAGUAAUGAAUGCUGUUUCUUACAUUGUAACAUUCAAAUGACACAUCAUAAUGUCAUUUAUUCUCAAUAUUAGAGGAAAUUUUAAAAUGUUGUUUAAUAGUGGAGAAUUAUAACAUGUACCAAAUAUACAUUAUAUUUUUAGUAAUUGCUUGGCAAUUUGGGACAACAUAUAAAUGGAGAGUCUUUAGGUUUGGUCACUGUACAAUAGAUAAUGUGGCUAAUUCUGCCUUAGCUUCAGGGAUCAAAAUGAGUUUAUAUAUAUAAAAUGUCCUUGGUAAAGAGAGAAUGUAAAUAUUUAUCAAUAGAACCGGAAUACAUUGUGAACUUUCUUGGUUGUAUUCUGGGUAGAUAGACAUUUACAGUAGAGAUUUGGCAGUUCUUCCAGAAACUUCACACUUUACACUCACACUUUUGAACCCAGGUUUGAAUUAUAUGGUGUCAUUCAUGGGGCUUAUAAGGUUUGAAGACACACUUAAAUAUGUGGAUUCUCUCGAAUGAAUGUGGAAGGAAGUAUUGUACUCCUGGGGAAUGCUGGUACCCUAAUGGGAGUGGCUUUCUCUUUUCUCCUUUUGGUCAACUCUGUUUGUUUUGUAGUGUGAGAUCUAUACUGUGGGAUAGUAUUCUUUUUAGAAUGCAUGCCUGUCAGUUGUGCUGUGCCAAGAUUUGCUGUAUCCAUUUCCAGAAUGAACACUGUUUUGUGAAAGGCAGGUCUAUGCAAACUACCCCAAAGUCCGAGGCAGCUGUGAGGCUGAAGAAAGAGCCUGACAAAUCCUGUUUCUUAGAAAGAAACAUUUAAUAGAGACCUACAAACAGGAGCCGCAUCUGUGUCUAGGGCAGCAGUAAGACAAGCUGGUGGAGCCCAUGCCAUCGCCUCCCAGACCCAGGGCUUCUAUGCCAUAGGGGAGGGGUGGUUCCAAAGGGACAUCGUAGGACGGUUGAAGUAAGAUAACAUCAAGGUUGUUUGAUCUGAAGGCACGAUUUACUUAGUAUAAGUACCUCCUCUUACACAGGAAUAAUAGAUAAAUGGGAAGUCUUAGGGGCCUUCUUGGACCAGGGGUUCAUCAGAAGGCAACGUGGCAGAUUAGCAUCCAAGAUGAAGUUGUUUUAGCCUCCAGAAGCACUGACGGUAUGCCAGGGGUUGACCACGAUGUGGUAUGAGGCACUGGGGAAUUCACUCCUAUAUGAUCUGGGUGAUUGACAAGAAAUUCUAGUGGAGGUGGUGUAUAGUUGUGCGUUGAGCGGGCUGGUCAUGUGCCCCCCCUUUAGAUGGUCCCGAUCACACAGAAUCACGACAUGAGACAAUGAGAUGAGAUCAGAGCUCUGUCAGCUUCAUGUAGCCAAGGACUUUCAAGUUCUUUCUCAAGGAGUUGGCCCUCUUUACACCCGUCAUCACAAUGUUAGCAGCUCUACAAAGUAGGCGUCACGCUCCAUGUGCUCUGUGCCUGUGGUUGGCCUGAAGCGUUGUCGUGGCCCUUCCCCAGGUUUGCCUUCCUUAAGGGCGCCAUGUGGCCCAUUUUGCCAAACCCAUGUGCUUAUACAGGCUGCCACACUGUUUCCAUGAUCGCAGUUCCAGGGUGUCUGAGUCCUGGGAUGGGGGUUAGUAGCAUGCAUGGUCAGGUGUCUUGGGGAAUCUGGGGGUGAGCACAGUUGAAUACAAUCUUUGCUGCAAGUUUCUCAAAAAUGUUCAUACACCAACGGUGUUUCAUGAAUCCACCGAGACCAUGCAGCACUACAGCUUUGCCUGGAGAAGAUUAUUCUCUCCUCAGCAAAGCUCUGCACUUGUCCCAAGUCGUGAUUCCCAAGAAAUGGCAGCUGGGAAGCCUGGUUUGGGGUUCAAGCCUUUUAGCGAUGGUGUGUGCCCUCAGAAGGUUUGCCAUGGCCUGUUUAGCCAUAUUUUGUCCUUGGUUCCUGGAGGGUGAUGCCUGCCUUCUUCCUAGUGUUGUGCUGCUCACCGGGCAUGCCCAGUGGCUCCUCUGACUCUGCAGAUCGCUUGGCUGAACCCACGAGUGCUCAGUCCUUCCUGUGGGCCUGAUGCCUUGGGAAGGGCCAGUCUGGUCCCCAUGUCUUCAGUGUGCCACAGCCUCCUUUUCAAUUUCUUUCUAUUAUAGGGUUAUGAGACCUCCUGACUCUAAGGGACUGUUUUAUCUGGAGUUUGGUGUUGCAGGCACAGCACCUGUGAAUAGUUAGUGACAUUUUUUUAUUCCCAACCAGGACCUAGGCUCCUUUAGGGCAAGGGCCCGUGUUGAUCUGAGGAUAUUUUCCCAGCUCCUCACACAGGCUGUGGUGCAGACAAGGAGUCUCAUAGAUCAUUGAAUGAAUGAUUUAAAAAAAUGGAGGGAUCAAGUCCUGGAAGUAGUUUUAAUUUGCUGUGCUUCCGGGUAUCUUGCUUAAACAUUCUGUGUUUUCUAAAUUUUAAAAUGGAGGUAGUAUUUCUCAAAUGGCUCCAUAGGACAUUGGUGAAACUCAUUUCUGCACCAGCUCUGUGCCUGGUAGUAUGCAGGAUGGGGGAUGCCCAGGGUAUCUUUUUGUCCUUAAAAUAGUCCUGUGAGGUGUAAGGAGUAUUCACCUAAUUUUGCCAAUGUGUAGGCGCAGGGAGCCAAAUAACUUGCUCAAGAUCAUAAAGCCUUUACGUCUGAGAAGUACGUACAGUGAAAAUGCAGGGCUGCCUCACUCCAAAAUCAAUGUGUGUGUGUAUGUAUAUGUAAGUAUAUAUGUGUAUAUACAUGUGCAUAUAAACAAAUGUACACAUUUAGGAAGUGUAUUGGAAAUAUACAUGCACACAUGCAUCUACAGUUGUGUACUGCAUUAGUACGUUUUGGUCAACAAUAGACUGCACAUAUGACAGUGGUCCCGUGAGACUGUAAUCUUGUAUUUUUACUGUAUCUUUUCUAUAUUUAGAUACACAGAUACCAUUGUGUUACCUGCAGUAUUCAGGACAGUCACAUGCUAUACAGGUUUGUAGCCUAGAAGCAAUAGGCUGUACCAUCUAGCCUAGGUGUGGAGAAGGCUGUACCAUUUAGGUUUGUGUAAGUACGGUCGAUCACACCAGCAGGAAACCACAUAAUGAUGUAUUUCUUAGAAUGGAUCUCCAUUGUUAAGUACGCAUGACUAGAUAUACAUGUACACAUAUGUGUAUGCCUGUGUAGAUGUGUAUAUUCUACAUACUCCUAAAUGUGUCCUAUGGCAAGGGUGCCUUAUUGUAAUUCGGGCUUUUGCAGUAAAUGUUAAACAAACAUUUUCCCCCGCCAGCAGUCCUUUUCUUCCUUUGAGGGGUCAGGGUGUCUGGAGCUUGUGCCUAGCUCCUGUCGGAUGCCCCUUCUUCUGGCCACUCUCUCGUGCCCAUCUUUUCACACUCGGUUUUCCCACCCCUGAGAACCCCAGGUGCCAGUGUGUGUUUGUUGAACUGAAAUUCUUAAGCCUGCUGAGUAUAUUCUCUGUUUGUCAAGAUAGAUAAACAAAUACCUUUUUUAGAUGAUUUAAAAGAUUCUUGACACAAUCUCAGUGGUGUUUUAACAACGUUUCAGGUCCUGAUCAGCCAAACUCUGGGCCAAAAGUAAAUAUUUAAUAAACAACAUAAGAGUUACGAAGAAAAAAUGUAUCUUAAGUGGAACUGUGUGUUCUGUAAAUCUAUGACGGAUUUCUGUUCCUGCUUUUGUUGUGUAUAAUUACUCUUGUUCCUCCUGAGAAUUGCCCUCUCUUUCAUCAUGAAAUGUGUAAGAUGGCCUCCUCCUCCGGUCAUUUGGAGCAAUUGGCCUGGGAGAGGAUUGAUGUGUAGUAAGGACAGUCCGUAGGAGAGAUUUAGUGGGGCAGUUUCCUUAUCUCCUUUUCUGUCCCUCUGCCAGACAGAAGCACAAAAAGUAGUUGGAGCGAAAAUGCUGCCUCCUAAAAUUAGCUCUCCUCUUUGUUUUCCGAAUGCUGUUACUGGUUGAGUUGGGCACAGUUUGCCCUUCUUGGUGAGCCUUCUGCAUUGCGUAAAAGUGCAAAGACAGAUCUUCUAUCAGAGAAACUAAUUUUAGGUGCUAGUAAGUUUUAAGGGCAUGCAAAGCUCAAAACUUUGCCAGGUCUCUUGGAGGAAGCUUUUUCCCUCCUGAAAAACAAGCUUCCUUUCAAAGUCAGAAAAGGCGGAAGCUAGACCAAGCCCCAGGAGGGCAGGUAUGUCUUGUUCACUGCAGUCUCCAUCCAGUGCCUUGAGAGGAGGGCCCAGCAUGCUGAGUGCUCAGUAACCCUCGGCCUAACGUAGAGUUUUCCAUGCUGUGAAUCGGGAAUGGAGCACCAUAAGGGGAUCUUCUGCUGGAGACAGCAAUUGCAGCAUCAAAAUAAACGUGGCAAUUUUGGUCUUAAGAGUGAAGUUGUGUCUCUGAAAAUUAUAAGCCCAAAUGGAUCAUUUCCUUUUUUGGGUUUUAGAAUUCCAGGUUUAUUUUCUGGAAGAGCUUACAGCAGAUGGGCUUCUGUGGGGGAAAGUUUAUACCUCGGGGGUUCCAUUUUGGGAGUCCUUGAUUUAUUAUUGUUUACAAAUGGUGGUUGGAAAUUGUUCAUUGAUUUGACAUAAAGCUGCCCAGGCUUAUUGUAAAAACACCUCAGCAUCCAAUUAGAAUGACAGACACUUAGUGUGAUAACUCAGGACAGUUGAUGGCCUAAAAAAAAAAAAA